UUUGAUCCUGGCUCAUGAUCUGUCUUGACAAGAGUAUCCAUGCCGGCGUGACGGGUGAGUAAUGCUUGGGAACAUGCCUUGAGGUGGGGGACAACCAUUGGAAACGAUGGCUAAUACCGCAUAAUGUCUACGGACCAAAGGGGGCUUCGGCUCUCGCCUUUAGAUUGGCCCAAGUGGGAUUAGCUAGUUGGUGAGGUAAAGGCUCACCAAGGCGACGAUCCCUAGCUGGUUUGAGAGGAUGAUCAGCCACACUGGAACUGAGACACGGUCCAGACUCCUACGGGAGGCAGCAGUGGGGAAUAUUGCACAAUGGGCGCAAGCCUGAUGCAGCCAUGCCGCGUGUGUGAAGAAGGCCUUCGGGUUGUAAAGCACUUUCAGUCAGGAGGAAAGGUUAGUAGUUAAUACCUGCUAGCUGUGACGUUACUGACAGAAGAAGCACCGGCUAACUCCGUGCCAGCAGCCGCGGUAAUACGGAGGGUGCGAGCGUUAAUCGGAAUUACUGGGCGUAAAGCGUACGCAGGCGGUUUGUUAAGCGAGAUGUGAAAGCCCCGGGCUUAACCUGGGAACUGCAUUUCGAACUGGCAAACUAGAGUGUGAUAGAGGGUGGUAGAAUUUCAGGUGUAGCGGUGAAAUGCGUAGAGAUCUGAAGGAAUACCGAUGGCGAAGGCAGCCACCUGGGUCAACACUGACGCUCAUGUACGAAAGCGUGGGGGAGCAAACAGGGAUUAGAUACCCCUGGUAGUCCACGCCGUAAACGAUGUCUACUAAGGAGCUGGGGUCUUCUGACACUUUUCCAAGCUAACGCAUUAAGUAGACCGCCUGGGGAGUACGGGCGCAAGGUUAAAACUCACAUGAUUUGACGGGGGGCCCGCCACAAGCGGGUGGGAGCAUGCUGGUUGUUAUUUGUAUGCUACGCGAGAACCCUUACCUACACCUUUGUCUACAGAGGAACUUACCAGGAAUGGGUGUGGGUGGCUUUGGGAGCUGAUAAACAAGAUGCUGGCAGGGGGUAGU
rnacentral:rRNA from 1 species